rnacentral:misc_RNA from 1 species
GCGGAUGUGGCGCAGCUGG